ACCACACGUAGGAAGACGUGUUUACCAGUAGGCCUAUAUUACCUCAACAUGUAAAAUCCUUUAUUAGGCAAUCGCAUAAGCAUUAAGCAAAUGUGGAUGAAGCAACUAAGGAAGAAGCAUGUAUUUAAGCCUCCACCCUCUGUGGAUCUUAUUUAAACUGACCUCUGCGGUAACAACGAGGUUUCAUUAAUGAGUCGGUAUUCUGAAUUUGACGCUUAGACCAGACAAUCGACAGCGUGUUGAUUUGGGUUGGAUUGUGAAUGUCUGGGAGUCUUGCUGAAGGAGAAAGCCUUGAGUUGAGGAUGGAGAACGGAGAGAGAGGCGAAGAAUUGGCUUCUCACAAGAAUGAGCCAACAGCCUCUGAGGGCCUCGACAAGUUCCAGCGAUUGAAGCCCACAAUACUCGGAGCGAUUGAAGUGGUAAUUGGGAUCUCCAUGGCACUGACCGCAGUUACGUAUCUGGCUGUCGAUGUCGACCUCGACAUAACAUCAAUCCUCUUCUGGGGAAUCUUCAUCGUGAGUAACCUUUAGUACAUCCCUGCUGGGGGUUUGACCAUCGCUGCUGACAGGAAACCCACCAGGGCCAAGGUGUGCGCUGCGUUGGGGAUGAAUGUGCUGGUGGCUCUCUCGACCGUCGCUGGAAGUGUUCUUCAUUUCUUUGCUAGUGUACUAUUUGCGUACCCUCCCUGCCACCUUGGUUGUAAACAUUUGAGAAAUACUGAAUUGUUCAUGCUGGCAGCGUCCAUCUUGCUGUUCAUCGUCUCCAUACUGGUUGUUUCCUCUGCAGUGGCUGCUCUGUGUUCCUCUAGAAAGCCGUCAAAAGAAAACACAGUAAUCUAAGUGGUACCCCUCGUUCUAAGGUGGACAAAAAAAUAGAUGAGCCUCUUCUAUCUUCAGAUUUCACACCAAAAGUACACCUUUUUUAUCUUCUGAUAUCUUUCUGAUGUGGUUUACUUUGAUAUAGCAGAGAUAUUGUAACCCUGAUGUAAAUGAUUGUUGUUUCCAGAAUGUUUUUUAUAAUAUAUAUCUUAUGUACAAUUGUUGCAUCUGUUUGUGUUUUUGGAUUACCUUUUUCCCUUUACGUUGGGUCCCUGAAAGUGAGACAACGUAGUUUAUUGCUCCCGGUAUGUUGCUCAUAUUAUUAAUCUCGUACAUGUUGUACCAAUGUGUUUCAGUAACUGUGUAAAUAAAAUAAAAGGGGGAAAUAUGGUAA